AGUUGUACGAUCAUCGCAUUACAUGGCGACCGUAGCUAUCAUCCGAAUACAUUACACUAUAAUUUACAAGAUCCUCAUCCAAACAGUUACUUGGAUAACUGUGGAAAAGCCAGAGCUAAUACAUGCAUUAUGCUGGGACUGUUGGCCUCCGGGUCUGCGGAACUGGUGUACUUAUUAGUUAAACCAAUCGCUUCCAGGCGCUUUGAGUUGAAAUCUGGAUAAGGAUGCCGAUCGUGCGGUCGCUUGCGACUGACGACAGAUCUUUCAAAUGUCUGCUCUAUAAACUAUUGAUGGUAGUGUAAAGGACUACCAUGGUUGCGAUGGAUAACGGGGAAUCAGGGUUCGAUUCCGGAGAGGGAGCCUGAGAAAUAGCUACCACAUCCAAGGAAGGCAGCAGGCACGUAAAUUACCCAAUCCCGGCACGGGGAGGUAGUGACGAGAAAUAACAGUAUAGACCUCUCUAACGAUGGUCCAUAAUUGGAAUGAGUUGAGCAUAAAUCCUUUUGCAAGGAUCAAGUGGAGGGCAAGUCUGGUGCCAGCAGCCGCGUUAAUUCCAGCUCCACUAGCGUAUAUUA
rnacentral:rRNA from 1 species